GAUGAAAAGAGGACGGUGAAAGAUGAACGAUGAACGAUGACUGACAAUAAUAUAGAGGUCUUACUGUCACUAGUGUGUGGUGGUGAAGUUGUUCUCUGCUCAGUUGACAGACAGGAGAUACAGAGACAGGAGUCCAUUCUGUUCCAAGUAGGUCACCUUGGCUCUCCUCUAUGCACAGCACUCCAGGGACUUCCUGCAGGUGGAGUCAGGCUUCUACUUCAUCGCCCUGGACCACGACACGAACGAGCCAGAAGACGCUAAGUUUGGACCACUCCUCCCACCAGCCUCCACUGCUCUUUUAAUUAUGGUGAUGCCCCAACUGUAAGAACCUGGAGAUCUCUACUGAUUUUGAGGGAGGUGACAUUGCCACAAACAGUGCCUGGGACACCGUCUGGAAAACAGCCAGAGGGUGGUCUGCUGCAACAGUGUUUCAGCUCGGCUGCACCUGGGAACUAAAGAUUGUCUGGGUCUGCUGAGAGGGUCAUUGGCUGCCACCUGCCCUCCAUUGAGGUCCUGCACGACUCCAGGGCAAGGAAGCAUGCAUGAAAGAUCAUCACCGACCACUUCCACCCUUUCUUCCACAGACUCCCAUCUGGCAAAUGGUUCAAGUCAAUCACGACCAAAACUUCCCGCCACCUGAACCGUUUCUUCCCCCGUGCCAUGGCUCUCACCAACCGGCCACCUGGUCCACAAUGAUCCUCUCAUCCAUGGACUCUGCGCUUUCAUCCAGACUCUGCACCGUGCACUAUCAUCUUACAUUCAUAAUUUAUAAUGUAGCUUAAUGGUGCUGCCACAAUAAACAGACAAAAAAAAUAUAUAUGCAGAAUUUCCAGAUACACAUUCAGUA